GAUGAACGCUGGCGGCGUGCCUAAUACAUGCAAGUCGAGCGAACGGACGAGAAGCUUGCUUCUCUGAUGUUAGCGGCGAACGGGUGAGUAACACGUGGAUAACCUACCUAUAAGACUGGGAUAACUUCGGGAAACCGUAGCUAAUACCGGAUAAUAUUUUGAACCGCAUGGUUCAAAAGUGAAAGACGGUCUUGCUGUCACUUAUAGAUGGAUCCGCGCUGCAUUAGCUAGUUGGUAAGGUAACGGCUUACCAAGGCAACGAUGCAUAGCCGACCUGAGAGGGUGAUCGGCCACACUGGAACUGAGACACGGUCCAGACUCCUACGGGGGGCAGCAGUAGGGAAUCUUCCGCAAUGGGCGAAAGCCUGACGGAGCAACGCCGCGUGAGUGAUGAAGGUCUUCGGAUCGUAAAACUCUGUUAUUAGGGAAGAACAUAUGUGUAAGUAACUGUGCACAUCUUGACGGUACCUAAUCAGAAAGCCACGGCUAACUACGUG
rnacentral:rRNA from 1 species